CACUAGGAUAAUGCUCAUGUCCAUGCUAUCAUAGGUGAGCCAAAGGUGAGCAUCUUUUCUUUUCUUUUUUUUUUUUAGAGAGGGGUUUUACCAUGUUGCCCAGGCUGGUCUCGAACUUCUGUGCUUAAGCAAUCCACCUGCCUCAGCCUCCCAAAGUGCUGGGAUUACAAGUGUGAGCCACCAUACCCGGCUGGUGAGCCUAUUUUCUAAGUACUAAAAAUGCCUAUUCUCUAUUGGCUGAGUCCAAAACCUGCUGAGGUCUAUCAUGAUCCCCUUUAGGAAGAAGAGAAUUUGACUUGGUUGUUUUAUUCAAGGCAUUUGAGGAAUAACAAGUGUGUUGAAGGGCGUCAAAAGGAAUGAGCAUCUGGCACCUGGACCCAAUUGCUCCUCCCACCCCAUCUUGGGCCAUCCACCUCCAGGUUCAUGGUCCUGGCUGCUGGCUCUGCCCUCCUUCCUUGGAGGCAUCUCCAUAGCUAGGUUGCCAUGGAAUGAAGGAACUAUGGCGGGGAUUGAGGGAAACCAGUCCUGACGUGCAGGAGGAUUCCAGGCCCAAUCUUACUGGAUAUGAGCCUAGCUUCGGACAGGAGGGUAGCUACUUCUGCAAGUGUCUUCUCUACACUAAGCUCUUCCCACCCAAACGGAGCUCACCGCCCCCCUUGUGUACUCUUCGGCACGUCUUCACCAGAACACUCGAUACAUUGCCAAAUCAUUGUCUGUUUAGACGAGAGUCUUGACGGCAGGGACUCUUGUUCACUUCUGUUCUCCCAUUGUGAGUAGCAUAAUGCCUGAAAUACCGUAAGUGCUGAAGAAAGGUUUGCGGGGUUGAUUAAUUAUUGAACUCUGAAUAAACAAUGGUCAUUUCGAGGACUAUGUUCUCUGGAGACUCUUUUGCUUUUGAUCCAUGGAUUCCCUCAUGUACGGCCUGAACGGUCUGAGAGAUAAGAUACCAGCGCUGUUUCAGAGCCUCUCAGCGGCCGCCUUAGGGGCUGGAUUUAUUGCCUUCUUGAGUGAAAUGUUGGCCUUCAAUUUUGCUGAGCUGUCAAGAGGUGAUUUUAGGUGUGUGGCUGUUGAUUGUCCCACAAGCUAACUUUUUAAGUCAAAAAUACCACCCAGCACUGAAAUGGAGGUUGGUUAUGAGGUGUUAACAGGACCUCUGGGCCACCAAAGAAAAAGGGCUGGGGAAGCCAAGAGAAACACCCUGCUCCCAAUUUUAAAAUGAAAUUAGUAAAAUAAAGAAAUAAAAUGAAAUAGUAAAAUAAAGGAAGAAAUUUGAAACUAUAAAAAAUUUAAAGCUUUUAGUGAAAAAAAAAGGAGGGGGGUGAUGGUUAACAGAGCAGGAUUUGAAAUCAAACAAACUAGUUUAAAAUUCUGAUUCCUCAUUGCCUUUGCUCUACAGCGCAAGUUCCUGACCAUGAGCCUCGCUGUCUUGUCUGUAAAGUGGUGCUGGUGUCUGCCUCUUAGGUAAGCAUUAGCUAAUGCAUGUGAAGUAUCUAAAACCACUCCAAUUAUAUAGCAAAGGCU
rnacentral:lncRNA from 10 species